AUGCCCACGUGCCCAGGCUGCAGCUCGUGGCUCUUGGUGUCACCCAUGGGAUGUGGGACGUGCCCGUGGCCCCGUGCCACCACAGGCAGGGCCCCGUGGUGCCAAGUGUCCCCUCACAGCGGUGGCAGCACGGGGCCCCCAGGCGCUGGGCACGGCCGCGUCCCUGGCGCUGCCUCCCACCGCCGCCUGUCCAGGCGUCCGUCCCCGAGCACGGCGCGGCCCCGGGGAUGGAGGGAGGACGCCGGGGUGGCCAGGGCACGGCCGCAGCCGCCGGGGCCGCCUGUUUACAUGCCUGGGGAUCAUUGCCUGUCUCGCUCAGGUGCCUUGAAAGCCGCCGUCGCCGGGGCUCUAAGUACUAACGCUCGUGAAGGCAUCCAUACAUCUGCUCCGGGCUGCAGUGAAUCAUCCCGCAGCAAUGCCCGUGGCCGAGCCAGCCGGGCUGGACCUGAGCUGGGGGGGACACAGCAGGGUCGGGGCGCUGGUGACGGGACGGCCGAGCUGCGCCUGGCUGGGCCAGGCUGCGGAGCGGGCGCAAGCCGGAGGGCAGCGUGUGGGCACCGGCACCGGGACAGAGGCUCCUGUGCUGGGAAGAGGUGGGGAAGGGGCAGUUCCUCUCCCGGGGGACACCAGGGCCUGAGCCAGUGGCACCCAUGGGUGCACGCAGCCACAGUUUGCCCUGGGUGUUGGGGGCUGCUGGUGGUGUGCUCGGGCCCGCUCUCCUUUUCGGGAAGCGCUGAGCUUCACUUCCACAGCCGCCGUGUUUCACUUCCACACCGAGCGCCCCAAUCACCCACGCAGGGCCCCGAGGCGAGGAGGAGGAGGAGGAGGAGCGGAGGAGGAGCCGUGGGCUGCAGCCUCCCUCCUGCCUUGCACCCCAGGAGCCAUUCGGCCCUGGUGACCAGCUCGUGGUGCAGCGGCACGGCCGGAGCCGAGUGGGCGCGCGGCACCCGGCCCAGUGCAGCUCCACGGCCAGCCCGGCUCCGGGUCCGGCCGCGGACAGGGCUGGUCACCGCUGUCCCCUCAGGUCCUGCAUGGCGGUGGGAGCGGUGUUUCUGGGUCACGUUCGGCUGGGUGAGGACCAGCGGUGGCAUGGUGGGCACUGUCACCAUGGCACGGCCACCACGGGCUCUUGUAAGGGGCGGGGGGUCUGCACCCCAAAACCCUCCAUCCCCGCACCACAGGGGCUGGCUCACUGCGGCCGCAUCCUGCGAGCCUUUCGGCCGCGCUCCCCGCGCCCAGUGAUGCUCAGCUCCUUUCCCAUCGCCGCCUCCCGCCACCCUCCACCCCUGUGAGCUUAUUACAGGCUUCUCCGGCCAAUGUGCCGAUUAACCCCGCAUCAGUAAUUAAACCAUUCCGGGAUACCACGGACCCAGGCUUACUUGUCCCUGCCUGGAAAAUAAACCAUCCUAAAUGAGCCCUGGAACA
rnacentral:lncRNA from 1 species